rnacentral:lncRNA from 1 species
UCUCAGUGCCCCAAAAUUGAGUUCCGUUGACCCCAAAUGGGCCUCCAUGUCCCCAAAUGGGCCUCAAUGUCCCCAAAUUGGGUUCCAUUGUCCCCAAACUUGUCAUCAUGUCCCCAGAUCAGACCCCACUGUCCCUAAAUGGGUCUCAGUGUCCCCAAAUUGGGUCUCAAUGUCCCCAAAUGGGCCUCAAUGUCCCCAAAUUGGGUUCCAUUGUCCCCAAACUUGUCAUCAUGUCCCCAGAUCAGACCCCACUGUCCCUAAAUGGGUCUCAGUGUCCCCAAAUUGGGUCGUAAUGUCCCCAAAUGGGUCUCAAUGUCCCCAAAUGUUCCGUCAUGCCCCCAAAUCGAGUCCCAUUGUCCCCAAAUGGACCCCACCAUCCCCAAAUGGGCCCCACUGUCCCCAAAUGAGCCCCAAUGUCCCCAAAUGUCCCGUCAUGUCCCCAAAUCGGGUCCCAUUGUCCCCAAAUGGGUCUCGAUGUCCCCAAAUCAGACCCCACUGUCCCCAAAUGGGCCCCAAUGUCCCCAAAUCAGACCCCAAUGUCCCCAAAUGAGUCUCAGUGUCCCCAAAUGGGUCUCAAUGUCCCCAAAUGGGUCUCGAUGUCCCCAAAUGUUCCGUCAUGUCCCCAAAUCAGACCCCACUGUCCCCAAAUGGGUCUCGAUGUCCCCAAAUGGGGUCCCAUUGUCCCCAACUGGGUCUCAGUGUCCCCAAAUGUUCCAUCAUGUCCCCAAAUCAGACCCCAUUGUCCCCAAAUGUUCCGUCAUGUCCCCAAAUCAGAUCCCACUGUCCCCAAAUGUGUCCCACUGUCCCCUAAUGGGUCCCAUUGUCCCCAAAUGGGCCUCAAUGUCCCCAAAUUGGGUCCCAUUGUCCCCAAAUCAGACCCCACCGUCCCCAAAUGGGUCUCAACGUCCCCAAAUGUUCCGUCAUGUCCCCAAAUCAGACCCCACUGUCCCCAAAUGGGUCUCAAUGUCCCCAAAUGUGCCGUCAUGUCCCCAAAUCAGAUCCCAGUGUCCCCAAAUCAGACCCCACUGUCCCCAAAUGGGCCCCAAUGUCCCCAAAUCAGACCCCAAUGUCCCCAAAUGGGUCUCAAUGUCCCCAAAUGUGUCUCGAUGUCCCCAAAUGGGUCUCAAUGUCCCCAAAUGUGCCGUCAUGUCCCCAAAUCAGA